rnacentral:rRNA from 1 species
UGGGGAAUAUUGCACAAUGGGCGCAAGCCUGAUGCAGCCAUGCCGCGUGUAUGAUGAAGGCCUUCGGGUUGUAAAGUACUUUCAGUCGGGAGGAAGGUGGUAAGGUUAAUAACCUUAUCAAUUGACGUUACCGACAGAAGAAGCACCGGCUAACUCCGUGCCAGCAGCCGCGGUAAUACGGAGGGUGCAAGCGUUAAUCGGAAUUACUGGGCGUAAAGCGCACGCAGGCGGUUGAUUGAGUCAGAUGUGAAAUCCCCGGGCUUAACCCGGGAAUUGCAUCUGAUACUGGUCAGCUAGAGUCUUGUAGAGGGGGGUAGAAUUCCAUGUGUAGCGGUGAAAUGCGUAGAGAUGUGGAGGAAUACCGGUGGCGAAGGCGGCCCCCUGGACAAAGACUGACGCUCAGGUGCGAAAGCGUGGGGAGCAAACAGG